rnacentral:rRNA from 1 species
AUUGAACGCUGGCGGCAGGCCUAACACAUGCAAGUCGAGCGAGCGGCGGACGGGUGAGUAAGGUAUGGGGAUCUGCCCGAUAGAGGGGGAUAACUACUGGAAACGGUGGCUAAUACCGCAUACUAUCGGAUGUACCAAUAUGGGCUUAGCUAGUAGGUGGGGUAAAGGCUCACCUAGGCGACGCUCCCUAGCUGGUCUGAAAGGAUGAACAGCCACACUGGAACGCAGACACGGUCCAUACUCCUACGGGAGGCAGAAGUGGGGAAUAUUGCGCAAUGGGCUCAAGCCUGAUGCAGCCAUUCCGCGUGUGUGAAGAAGGCCUUCGGGUUGUAAAGCACUUUCAGCGGGGAGGCGUUACUCGCAGAAGAAGCACCGGCUAACUCCGUGCCAGCAGCCGCGGUAAUUC